rnacentral:lncRNA from 1 species
CAUUUUGACAUGAUAUUUCUUUAAAAAUAAAAUAAAAGUUAAUACUUCGACGUAAUGAACAAAAACUAGGAACAGUGCAAAUUUGUUCAUUCGUCCUAUUGCGCAUAAGGUCGAAAGUAACAAAAACGCCUAAUUCCGAUAAAACGUGUAUUCGACCUUUUGUCACCAAAGGUCUUAUGAGCGACAGCUGUCAAAAUAAAUGGAAAAGCUGAUACGACGCACCUGUAGUAUUGAUUUUGCCUCGUUAAACAGUUUUUUUUACAAUGAGUGACUUAAAUUCAAUGCCAGAAGCUGCGAUUUUUCGAAAACAAAUCGUUUGGUUUGAUAAAAGGAAUUUACGGAAGAACAUUCCUAUGGAAAGACCCCAACUAAAGACCCGCCAGAUCGCAGAUUAGUAAUCUCUUCACUUGAUGGUUCUAGUGGAAAAACAGCAUCGGGAUCGAUUCCAUCGAUGGGAAUGAGCAUCCAUUCGCCAUCCUACCUUCAAGCGAAUCCAGUAACACUGAUUCCAUGACAAAACCGGUCCGCACCGGCUGAGCAACUGAAAACAUCAAUCCCCUUGCCAAUGCUUGGAUGAACACCAAACAAUCCCUUCAUCUUUCCUGACACGUGUUCGUCCGGUAAUUCACCAGCUUCGUAUAUGCUGACUUCAUCAGACGGUAGCCCAGGCCUUGAAACUGAGUCCUUAAAAACGAGUUAUGAAGAGUUGAAUGUGUUCUGAAACUAAACAGAUCGAAGAUUUAUUAUUGAAAACUUUUUUUUAAAUAACUAAACUUAUUUUUAGAGAGCCGUUAGUCUCUUCUAUU